ACCUUCAAAACUAAGAUCUAAUACUAAAAUUGGAACGAUACAGAGAAGAUUAGUAUGGCCCCUGAGCAAGGAUGACACGCAAAAUCGUGAAGCGUUCCAUAUUUUC
rnacentral:snRNA from 1 species